GAGGACAUCUGUUUGACACACACCU
rnacentral:piRNA from 1 species